AUCGCUCUUCUCGGCCAUUCUCGAGGGCUGAAGGCAGCUGAAGGCAGCUGAAGGCAGCUGAAGGCAGCUGAAGGGCUGAAGGCAGCUGAAGGCAGCUGAAGGCAGCUGAAGGCAGCUGAAGGGGCGGUCGAGCGUUCGGAAUUGGCGCCAAGGGAGAGGAACCCACCUGUUCUUUUGUUUUUUCACUCUCCGGGAAGACGUCGUUUACCCGUCGUGGCUCCCUUUCGGAUGGUCACUGCUCUCCCCAACGAAGGGUUCGCCUGGCCCGGCCCUCGCCUCCUGGAUUCGAUUCUUAUGACGCGAUCGGGAAAAUAAUCCGACACGCCGAGGCAAGGCGCCGAGGUGCCAAAACGCAGUUAGAGACGCAAUUCUGGAAGCGUGUCACGGGAGCAGAGCGCAUGUGUCCUAUCGAUCUCGGGAGUCGGGAGCCGAGGUGGCGUUCCUCUCCUCGGCAGGGAUUCAAAUUCCGUUGCAUGACUCUCAUUGCGUGACUCUGGGGGAGACUGCGAGACGAUAUUGGGACCCGGGAUCGAAGGCAAGAAAUAUUCUUACAUUCUAUUCCUUCCGGGAAGACUCGUUGGCCGGAUAUUAUAUAUAUAUCUUUGGCUUUCCGAGAUGUUUGGAUCUCCUUCCGGGUCGAUCGGCAGAGGCGGAACACGAGAGCUGGAUUGCUUUAUAUUUAGGCCAGGAAUCACUCUUCGUACUAUUUCUGGGCUAGCCUCGAUUAAGAAUUUCGUUAUCCGAAAACACUCGAGCCGAAUUCACUGAGUAGAUUAUCCGAAUGCUAGCGUAUGGUCCGGUGAUAUCGCGGAUAAGAGUGAUAGUGCACUCUUCGAGUACGACCGGUAUUCGCGGAUUCCACUAACCGUGGUUAUCGAAAUCACGGACUCGUUCGCUGAAAAAAAUGAGCGUAACCUUUUUUUCUUCUUAUCCGGCGGUCUUCGAUGUCGAGGCAACUGUGCGCGAUUCCACCUGGACAGAAGUUGAAGAUGAUACCGAAACCGUGGAACCUCCACCAGUUGAGCUCCCACCUCCACCUUCAGCACCUCCGCUGCCGCCAGUUAACUCCCUCCGAGUCUGUCCGCUUCGCUUUAUCUACUUCCCUCUAAUGUGUUAUCGACAGACUUCGAAAUGAGUGGCCGCGAAGAGGCUUAGGGAAACUGGCAACCGGUAGCUCCGAUAUGUAUUCCUAGAAUGGAUAAGAUAUGUAAGUCAAUUAUAAAAUUCAAACACAGCGAACGUUCCGAUUACACUACGUAGAGUGCACUUGCAAUGAAAAGUUUAUUAAUAUCGCAAGGAGGAAUGAUUAAUGAAAUAAAAGUAGCAUAAACAAUA
rnacentral:misc_RNA from 1 species